GGUGACCUGCGGAGGACAUUACCUAGAGUUGUGGGCUUUGCCUGCUAUCUCUUACCCAUGUCUUUUGAGUACUUACGUUUCCUCGGCGGGUCCGCCCGCCGACUGGACAAUUUAAACCCUUUGCAGUUGCAAUCAGCGUCUGAAAAACUUAAUAGUUACAACUUUCAACAACGGAUCUCUUGGUUCUGGCAUCGAUGAAGAACGCAGCGAAAUGCGAUAAGUAGUGUGAAUUGCAGAAUUCAGUGAAUCAUCGAAUCUUUGAACGCACAUUGCGCCCCUUGGUAUUCCAUGGGGCAUGCCUGUUCGAGCGUCAUUUGUACCUUCAAGCUUUGCUUGGUGUUGGGUGUUUGUCUCGCCUCUGCGUGUAGACUCGCCUUAAAACAAUUGGCAGCCGGCGUAUUGAUUUCGGAGCGCAGUACAUCUCGCGCUUUGCACUCAUAACGACGACGUCCAAAAGUACAUUUUUACACUCUUGACCUCGGAUCAGGUAGGGAUACCCGCUGAACUUAAG
rnacentral:rRNA from 1 species